rnacentral:rRNA from 1 species
AUUGAACGCUGGCGGCAGGCCUAACACAUGCAAGUCGAGCGAGCGGCGGACGGGUGAGUAAUGUCUGGGAAACUGCCUGCUGGAGGGGGGUAACUACUGGAAACGGUAGCUAAUACCGCAUACCCUUACAUGUGCCCAGAUGGGAUUGGCUUGUAGGGGGGGUAACGGGUCACCUAGGCGACGAACCCUAGCUGGUCUGGGAGGAUGACCCGCCACACUGGAACGGAGACAGGGUCCAGACUCCUACGGGAGGCAGCAGUGGGGAAUAUUGCACAAUGGGCGCAAGCCUGAUGCAGCCAUGCCGCGUGUGUGAAGAGGGCCUUCGGUUUGUAAAGCACUUUCAGCGGGGAGGCGUUACCCGCAGAAGAAGCACCGGCUAACUCCGUGCCAGCAGCCGCGGUAAUUC